rnacentral:rRNA from 1 species
UACGUAGGGUGCGAGCGUUACUCGGAAUUACUGGGCGUAAAGCGUGCGCAGGCGGCUUUGUAAGCCCGUUGUGAAAUCCCCGGGCUUAACCUGGGAAUGGCAUUUGGGACUGCAAGGCUCGAGUGCGGCAGAGGAGACUGGAAUUCCUGGUGUAGCAGUGAAAUGCGUAGAUAUCAGGAGGAACACCGAUGGCGAAGGCAGGUCUCUGGGCUGACACUGACGCUCAUGCACGAAAGCGUGGGGAGCAAACAGG